GGAAGUAAAAAAUCGUAACAAGGUCUCCGUUGGUGAACCAGCGGAGGGAUCAUUACUGAGUUUACGCUCUACAACCCUUUGUGAACAUACCUAUAACUGUUGCUUCGGCGGGCAGGGUCUCCGUGACCCUCCCGGCCUCCCGCCCCCGGGCGGGUCGGCGCCCGCCGGAGGAUAACCAAACUCUGAUUUAACGACGUUUCUUCUGAGUGGUACAAGCAAAUAAUCAAAACUUUUAACAACGGAUCUCUUGGUUCUGGCAUCGAUGAAGAACGCAGCGAAAUGCGAUAAGUAAUGUGAAUUGCAGAAUUCAGUGAAUCAUCGAAUCUUUGAACGCACAUUGCGCCCGCCAGCAUUCUGGCGGGCAUGCCUGUUCGAGCGUCAUUUCAACCCUCAAGCUCUGCUUGGUGUUGGGGCCCUACAGCUGAUGUAGGCCCUCAAAGGUAGUGGCGGACCCUCCCGGAGCCUCCUUUGCGUAGUAACUUUACGUCUCGCACUGGGAUCCGGAGGGACUCUUGCCGUAAAACCCCCAAUUUCCAAAGGUGACCUCGGAUCAGG
rnacentral:rRNA from 1 species